rnacentral:misc_RNA from 1 species
GAGAGCUCCAUUUGCGUUAUAUUUUUAAUGGAACCACUUUCUGUCUCUCUCUCAUUGUGUUAGUUUCAUCAAUGGAAUUUUUGCAGUACGCUGGGAUCCGCGUUUCUCGAUUGCAGGGACAACAGCCAGUUUCUCAUUCUCUUCUUAUCUGCCUGUAAUCUCCAUCGCUGCGGAUGAAUUCUCUGUUUUCUGUCAUUAGUUAUAUGCAAUCUUAAUAUUUUGAAGAAUUAGAGGUGCUGGUAGGAACUAUUUUAGGAGGUACUUAAGCUGUCUGUGUUUGGGAUUUUUGAGUGGCGAAUGAUGAUGAAUGCGAGGGAGCAUCAAACGGUACCGCUUUCAGUUCUGCUAAAGCGUGAAUUGGCAAAUGAGAGGAUAGAGAAACCUGAGAUUUCGCAUGGGCAGGCUAGUCAGAGUAAGAAAGGGGAGGACUUCACGUUGCUCAAGACCGAAUGCCAAAGGGUUGGCGACGGAAGCACAUAUUCCGUUUUUGGGUUAUUUGAUGGACACAACGGGUCUGCAGCUGCAAUAUACACAAAAGAGAAUCUUCUAAAUAAUGUCAUAAAUGCCAUUCCACCUGAUCUUAACAGAGAUGAAUGGGUAGCAGCAUUGCCAAGGGCUUUGGUUGCUGGCUUUGUGAAAACAGAUAAAGAGUUUCAAUCAAAAGCACAAACAUCAGGGACAACCGUCACCUUUGUGAUAAUUGAAGGAUGGGUCAUCACUGUUGCAUCUGUUGGAGAUUCUCGCUGCAUUCUUGAAUCUGCUGAAGGAGAUAUCUAUUACUUGUCAGCAGAUCAUAGGCUUGAAUGCAACGUGGAAGAGAGGGAGCGUAUUACUGCUAGUGGAGGUGAGGUGGGACGACUUAAUACUGGUGGUGGUGCAGAGAUUGGCCCUUUGAGAUGUUGGCCUGGUGGCUUGUGCCUUUCACGAUCUAUUGGCGAUGUGGAUGUAGGUGAAUUCAUUGUCCCUGUUCCUUAUGUGAAGCAAGUUAAGUUAUCUUCAGGGGGCGGUAGGCUUAUUAUCUCAAGUGAUGGUGUUUGGGAUGCUUUAUCUGCCGAAGAGGCUCUUGAUUGUUGUCGUGGGAUGCCUGCAGAAGCCGCUGCUGCACAAAUUGUGAAAGUAUGUUCUUACUAGCAUUUUUCAAUAAAAUAUUUUUCUGUCUGUAAAUUUUGGAAACUGAUGGAACUGCAAUCAGUAUCCAGGUACCAUCAUGCACUGCAAUGACAUCUGACAUGUUGGCUUUGGCAAUUUUCAUAUUUAUUUAUUUUUCCUGUAGCUUGUGUUUAACUGAGUUCUUUUUGCAGGAAGCCGUGCACGCGAAGGGACUUAGAGAUGAUACAACCUGCAUUGUGAUUGAUAUAUCACAACCAGAGAAGCUGGCUGCUCCUUUGCCAGCACCAAAGAAGCAGGUAAAGGGAGUGCUCAAGUCCAUGUUUCGCAGAAAAUCCUCUGAAUCAUCCUCUCAAGUUGAUAAAGAAUAUCUUGAGCCAGAUGUGGUAGAGGAAUUAUAUGAGGAAGGAUCAGCCAUGCUUUCUGAGAGGUUUGUGUUGUGAAGAUAUUAAGUAUUAGCUAAAAUUAUAUGUUGAUUCUCAGAUUGAGCUUGUCGCAAAUGAAUGCCUGGAUUCAUUUUGUAUGAAUGUAUGUAUAGCUCUUGCCUGUUAUGCGUUCACACCUGUGAUCUGCCCAUUUCGGAUGAUUAUAUUAGUUUCUAGUCUUUUGACAUGAGGCAUGUUUGUGUUGGAUGCAGAUUAGAUACAAAGUAUCCACUUUGCAACAUGUUUAAGUUGUUCACAUGCGCAGUCUGUCAAGUAGAGAUAAAACCUGAAGAGGGUAUUUCAAUACAUGCUGGCUCAACUAAUUCAAGAAAGCUGCGUCCCUGGGAUGGUCCUUUCCUUUGCUUAAGUUGCCAGGAGAAGAAAGAAGCCAUGGAAGGAAAGAGACCAUCCGGAGGUACAACAGCCCUCUAAUUGUCUCUCUCUGUGCAUUGCUUUAGAACUAAAAUGUAUAAAGAUUCAUAAAAUUGUCCUUGUAUUAUUUUUACAGAUAGACAUAGUAGCGAAAGUGACUAGCUUGCCAUCCUUGUAUUUGUGUUUCUCAAGCACUAGCAAUUGUUUCAAAGGUCAACAUAAAUGGGAACAUGGAACCUUUUCACACUCAUAGCCCUGGUUUGAGCCAUUUAUGUUCAAGCUUGCAUUUGGACCUCUUGCAAUUUUUUCCUUGCUUCAAGUCAGAAGACCAGAGUUAGAGCAAUGCACAAUUUUAAAAAUUUGUUUCUGACUUGAGGAGUAAUAGCUGUUGUGGUUGCCACCUCAAAGAUUCGUGCAAGACUUUGAUAAAGCUUGCCAUUGCAUAGUAACACGUCAGAGCUUAUUUGUUUUCCCAUAUGAAUCAAUUCUUGUCCAAUUUGUAGAGCUAACAUCAAGUCAUAACGACCUUCAUGUGUAAUAUUGUUAUAUAGGGAGUUUGAGGGUUACUCAAUGCUAGUUCAUUCAAAAUGAGGCAAAACCUGUGUUAGCAGCCUGCUGUAUGAAUAUGUUCGUGUAGUAUUUUAUUGAACCUUUAUUUUGUCAAGCAGCAAUGUGAACUUGAGAAAUAGAAAAAUUGGCUUUGUUCCUUCGUGUCUCCUUCCCCCUGACUCCAUAUGUCAAGCUUCAUCAUUUCAUUCAAUUUCUAUCUUGGAAAUCAUCAGUAUAUAAGAUGGUCAUCUCACAGAGGGAGUGUGUCCCCACUCCUGAGCAAAAAAUGGAGUGCAAGUUCUCAUUUUUAUGCCUCUUCAAAUUCCUUUUGUUUGAACUUGGCCUGGUCUGAUGAGUAGCAUCACAGAGCACGGCUGUGGUAUUUGGGGCGUCAAAUUCACAUGAUUGGACCAUGUUUUGCUGGACAACAUGUGGACACUGGUUUGGCUGGAAGCUAUUGGAGUCGUCAAACUACACGUGGCUACCAGCUUAUUUAUUGUGACAUCUCUGUA